CAAAACAGUCUGCUAGGACAAAGCGAUGUUACAAUGGCGGCUAACCUACCCGGAGUGCCCCGUGCUGUAAAAAAUUUCCUAUCGACUGAAUAGGAAAGCGGUGCGCAUGCGCGGAUUACUGACUGCCUUGAGCACGUACUGAUUGCGUGGUGGUGCGGGACAGCGUUUUGUUUCUUGGCUCCGGACGUUUUACCAAUGAAGCGGGAAUAAGCAAGCAAUGGGUCAUCCAGUGAACGGUGAAUCUUUGUAAAACAUUUUGGGUACGCACCAAACCUGGAAUUAAAAACUCCCUGUCCUUCGUUUGCCGCAAAGACGAAAACAACUGCAAGCUUUGGGCCCGGCUUACAGCCACCAUCUUUACUGGGGGGUGCGUGCAAAAGGACACAUGCGCAGCCUUCCGGAACAUGAGAAGAGGAUUUACAUAGAGUAAACUCAAACUGGGGGAGUUGUUUUCCUUUUCUGAAUUCACGCCCUGGACUGACAGCGAUGGAUGCGAAGAGGUUUUUUAAAAGAAUGUUCAUAGAGGGUUUGAAGACUGGAAACUCCAAACAAAUGUCACAUCUUUGGGUGUAUCAGGUCAUGGAUGUUAUCAGUCUUUGAAUGGCAUUAGAAGUGGAGAAUUUGCAGUUGGGAAACUGAAAACAAAUAUUGCACGAGCUGAUGGAGUCACCCAAUGGAUUAUAAUAUGGAUCAUCAGAUUUUGAACAUGGAAGGAAAAAGUACCAAUCCUAGUGGGAAGAAACAAUACAUAUGUUCUGUGUGUGGACGAGAUUUCAACCAGUUGGUUGGUCUGUCAGAACAUAAACGCUGCCACGGCCGGAGGAAACCGUGGAAAUGUGGGGAUUGUGGGAAGGGAUUCAGAUUCCCAUCUGAGUUAGAAGCCCAUCAUCGCAAUCACACUGGGGAGAGGCCAUUCACCUGCUCAGAGUGUGACAAGGGGUUCACUAAUUUGUCCAACUUGUUGGAACACCAGCGUGGUCACACUGAUCGGAGACCUUUUAAAUGCCUGGAGUGUGGGAAAUGCUACAAAAGUUCCUGGGAAAUGAUAUCCCAUCAACGUGUUCACACUGAUGAGAGACUGUUCACGUGCAAUCAUUGCAGAAGUCAGUUCAAGACCCCAUCCGAACUCACUAAGCACCAACGAGUUCACACUGGUGAGAGGCCAUUUACAUGCUCUGAGUGUGGGAAGGGGUUCACUCAGUCAUCUAACCUGCAGAAACACCUGCAAGUUCACAGUGGUGAGAGGCCAUUCACCUGCACCAAGUGUGGGAAAGGAUUCACUCAAUUAUCAAAUAUGCAGAAGCACCAGCGAGUUCACACCAGGGAGAAACCGUUCACCUGCUCUGAGUGUGGUAUGGGUUUCACUCAAUCAUAUAAUCUGCAGAAACACCAACGAGUUCACACUGGGCAAAGGCCAUUCACUUGCUCUGAGUGUGGGAAGGGAUUCACUGAGUCAUUCACCCUGCUUAGACAUCAGCGAGUUCACACAGGGGAGAGGCCCUUUACCUGCUCCAAAUGUGGGAAGAGAUUCAGUGAAUCGUUCACCCUAUUGAGACACCAGCGAGUUCACAAGGAACUACAGUGAUUGGAUUUUACUGUUAAUUUUGCAAAGAUGAAUGUCACGUCAGAAAAUUAGAUCGAAUAUAAACAUCACAGAAUGACUAAAAAUCAAUAAGAAGUGGGAAAUUAGAACAUGAGAGAAAGGUACCCAGGAAUAGAAAACCAGGAAGAGAUUCUACAUAUAUUUAAAUAUGAAGAGGAAGAAAGUGACUAUUGGUCCUCUAGAGACUGAUACUGAGGAGUUAAUGAUGGCAAAUGUGGAAAUUGUAAAUAAAAUGAAAAUAAAUUUUGUAUCUGCCCUCACUGUAGAGGAUGCAAUUUGUAAGCCAGAAAUAAUUCUGUAUCCUGAGAAAGACAAAUAAUGAAAAUGUUUGAAGUGUUAUUUUCGAAAAAAGUCACAAAGUGGUACUGGAAAGCUUAUUGAAGAGGCUAGGCCCAUGGGUAAAUCGACAACUUAAGGAACCAGUCAGGAGAUAUUGGGAGGUGACAUCAGUCAAUGUCCAAAACAUUUAAGAGCCAAUUUGAGAUUGAUUAAGAGCUGCAGUGCACCCAUGAAGUCACUGCCCUUCUUCAGAUAACCAGACUAGUGGCCUUUACAAACGUCAUCAGAAACAGAUGGUAUGGAGGUGGAUGUCAAUAGCAUCAAAAUCCUAUUCCUCCAAGCACUCAAAGAACUCGGGUAAUUAACCAGUCCUGAUAAACCAGAAAAUCCCUGUUUUCACUGUGCAGAUGGACUGUCUCUACCCAAUGUCAAUGUGUGCAUGACCCAUGUGCAACGAUGUGAUCAUUAACAAAACCAAGUCCUCCAGAUAGACAAUUUUAUUAACAUUUCAACUGCCCAAGACCAUUGUUCAUUCCUUGAUGUGAAUGAGGGGUGAACAGUCUUUUGGUGACUAUUAGUGAAAUCGCUGGUGUCUCAGCAGGUUGGAUGACUGAGUGAAUCCCUUUCCACAAUUGGAGCAAGUGAAUGGUUUCUCCCCAGUGUGAACAUGCUGGUGUCUCAGCAAGUGGGAUGACUGAGUGAAUCCCUUCCCACACACAGAGCAAGUGAAUGGUUUCUCUCCAGUGUGAACUCGCUGUUGUAUUAGCAGGUGGGAUUCCUGAAUGAAUCCUUUGCCACACAGAGAACAGGCGAAUGGUCUCUCUCCAGUGUGAACUCACUGGUGUGUCAGCAGGCUGGAUGACUGUGUGAAUGCCUUCCCACAAUCAGAGCAGGUAAAGGGUCUCUCUCCAGUGUGAACUCGCUCGUGUAUAAGCAGGAUGGAUGCCUGACUGAAUCCCUUUCCACACACAGAGCAAAUGAAUGGUUUCUCCCCAGUGUGAACUCGCUGGUGUCUCAGCAAGUGGGAUGACUGUGUGAAUCCCUUCCCACAAUCAGAGCAGGUGAACAGCUUCUCCCCUGUGUGACUGCAUUGGUGAGUUUCCAGCUGGGAUGGGUAAAGAAUUCCCUUCCAGCAGGCCUCAUUUUUUCACAGUCUCUCCCUAGCAUGACUGUGCUGGUGUUUUGACAUUUCAGAUAAAUGCUGGCAGACUGUUACACGUACAAUGUAGGUGUGUUUCUGCCCAGUGUGAAUGCUGCUGUUUACCGUUCAGAAUCCUUUGAUAAUUAGGUUCCGAUAAACAGAAUGACUCUCAGAGCUGGAUGUGGUUUUGUCUGAAUCCUUUAAUUAUAACUCAACCUUUCAAACAGGAAAUAAAAAGUCGUGAGAGAAAGAAAGCAGAAUAACACACACAGGUUAUGAAAUUGAGAGAAAUUCAACUGACCAUUUGUGGAGCCGAUAAUUGGGGAGAAAAAUUUUGAUCUAAGCUGUUGGAUUAUCAUUAAAACCCAGUCAGUGUUUGCACAAACUAAAAAUGGGAGGUUGAGCUGGGUGAUAAAACACUGAAGGAGGCAUUAUAUGGGCUUACAACUUGACUGUUCCCAUUUUGUCCCCAAAUGCUCUGAUCCCUUUAGUACUAAGAACAAGAGCAGAAGCAAAAUAUUGGAAAUCUGGAGUAAAGACAGAAAAUGUUGAAACACUCAGCAGGUUGAGCAGCAUCUGAAUCAUUCUUUUGAUAUAUUACUGACCUAGACCUUAGGCCAUAUGGUCUGAAAUUCUCUCCAUAUGCCUCACUGACCCUCUCUCCAUUCAAGAUUGUCUUUCAAGCUGACAUCUUUAAAAACUUCUUGCUCAUUGGCUUUAUGUUACUCAGUGAUAUAACAUAUCCGUGAAAUGCCAGUAAAUGUUUCAUUAUAGUCAGGGAGACGUAUUAAUGCCAACUGUGUCUGUCGACUUAUAAAUAUAUCGUUCAUCACUGCACUGUAACAACCCUUAGAAAGAAAGCAUUGUGUGAGCACCUUCAGCACAGGGAUGGCAGUGGUUCAUGUGACACACUCUCACCUGCUCAACAGGAUUGACAAUAUCUGACAGCCUUGCUCAACCUUAGCUUGCCCAUAUCAAGAAUGGAGCUUUAUUUUUAAAAAAGCAGUUUGUGCAAAAUGGUUUAAAAUGCCCUUCAGAAAUAAGUGUAACAAAAACAACAUAAUUAAUGCUGAUUAGAUAAUAUUCCUUUAAAAUUACAAUGUCCCCUAGAAUCUCCUUGCCUUGACAAAUUAGAAAUUGCUGGAUCCACCAGGGAUCAAAGUUAAACCCAACAGCUUCUCCAUCUCCACUCCACUGCAACACAAAGAAACAAACUAUAAAACAGCCUUCAUCCCCAUCAGAUUACCCAGAGACUGCAGCCUGGCUCUGGGAUUGGGAGAAGCAGGAAAGAUGAGGAGAAGCAAAAUUAUCUCACACUCACAGCAACCACCCAGACAUAUUCCUGGGAUUGGGUGACAGAGUUUAUUAUCACUCAGCAAAAUGACUUCAGUGAAACAGCCACAAACAAGAGGAGGAGCAAAGCCCCCAACCCCAAGCUACCUACCAGCUGGCAGCUUCCUGAACCUUCACCAGCCCUCUCCAGGAGUGGGACAGCCCAAAGCAAGUCUCUAUGGAACCAGCGACUGGGGAAUUGGUGAUCUCCUGCCUUCUGCUGUGUCAAAAAUUGUCCAAACCACUUCACCCCAUCCCUAUUGCAUUGUAAAUACUGAAUUGACUUGGCUGAUGGACCUUGAUGGGCAUCACUAUGCUGGGCAGAUACAAUGCAGAUUGGCACCCACCUGUACUGUACUCAUUCUCUGAACAUUUUCCAGUUGCUCCCUUCCUAGUAAUUUCCACAUUGUGCUGUUGUCCCUGGCUCCCUGUUUAUCCCAGUUAUUCCUCCCCAUUUUCCUGGUCACAGCAGCUUGAAAAAGAUGAUGCUGUCUGACCCGCUGUGAUCCCCAGUAUUUGUUUUCAGUACAGACUCCAGCAUCUGCAGUAAUUUUUUUUCCUUCAGCAUGUACAGGCCAUGCGUCCCUACAUGCCUAUUGCGCUAUUCAAUAUCCUGCUCUGGUUUCAUCUCCAUAUCCUUUCAUCCCUUCAGCCUUCGGAACUAUGUCUAACUCCUUCAAGAAAACUUUCAAAGUUCUGGGCUCAGCCCCUUCCUUUUGCGACGAAUUCCACAGGCUCCCCACUCUCUGGGUGAAAAGAAAACUCAUCUCUGGCAAAAUGUUUUUUCUAUCUGCUCCUUUUUUUGUAUAUAUCUCGCUGAUUAUCUUUACUUUGCAUUCACGAUUACUAAUGCCCCAUUCACACCUCAUCCAGACACUUCUUUUGUCCCUUUACUUCUCCAUCACCACUCUCCUUGAUUUCGCAACAUGAAAUCUUUUCUCAAUGAAACUGGCCCGCCCUUCACCUGCUCAUUCACUUUGUUAACUGCACCCCUCCCCCUCCCUUUGCUCACCGACCUGAACCAUUCACCCAGUUUCAAAGUCCACAGCAGAGAAAAAGGUCCUUCGGCUCAUUGAAUCGAUGCCGGACAAAUACAUCCUCUAACUAUUCAAGUGCCAUUUCCAGCACUUGGCCCACAAGUGUGUAUGUAUUGGCAUCACAAGUAUACAUUUAAAAAGAAAUUGCUGAAAAUAUUCAGCACGUCUGGGAGCACCUGGACAGAGAAUAGAUCUAAAAAGGGAAACUCGACCAGAAACAUUAAUUCUGAUUUCUCUCCACAGAUGCUGCCAGACCUGCAGAACUUUGUCAACAAUUUCUGUUUUGUUUCUGAUUUACAGCAUCCGCAGUUCUUUCAGUGUUUAUUUUAUACAUCUAAAUAGUUCUGGAAUGUUAUGACGGUUUCUACCUCUACCACACUUCCAGGCAGUGAGUUUCAGACUCCCCCCAUUAUCUGAGUGAGAAAAAAAUCCCCACAUCUCAUCAAAACCUCCUGGCCCUUAUCCAUGCCCUCCGAUACUGAUUCUACCACUAAGCUGAAAGAUUCAUUCUUGUUUACUCUGUCUGUGUCCUCCAUAAAUUUAUACAUCUGAACAAUGUACCCCUCAGUCUAUUCUGCUCCAAAGAAAUUAACCCCAGUCUCUGAGGGCUGUGUGGUUCCCUGCUGAUAGAUUAGAUUCUAUCCUACUGGGCAGAAUGAUCUGUCAUCACCAAGUACUAAACCGUCUCUGUGCACCCAAAUCAGCGCCGAGAUUGACCAUAGUCCUGCAUCCACUGCAGCCUGCAGCCUGUAACAUGGAUUGGGAGAAAGGGGAAGAGAGAGGGUUGAUGAUAUGAUCUCACACAGUGACCUACAGUCCACCUACAUUGCCAGGAUACAGACAGAGAGUUCUAAACACUCACCAACCCAACUCCAGUCAAACAUUCAUGAAGAAAAGGCGGAGCAGAGGCUGCUCCUGCUCUGAUAUCCCUCCUGACCUGUCGGUCACAACCUCAGUCCCGCCCAGUUCACAGAACAACCUUCCAAUCUCCAAAAUAAAAACCGAAAGAACUGCGGAUGCUGUAA